rnacentral:lncRNA from 10 species
CAGGGAAUGACUAAUGCUUAAAGCCACGCAUUACACGAAGGUUUACCAGGCAGAGCAAAUAAAUGGUCAUCGGAGACAUGCUUUCAAACAGAGAUCUCUGUUCUUGGCAUGAAGGUUAAGAGGAGUUUGAAAUUCUUGCUUCAGGCCAUAUGGAGUGGAUAUUCCUUCCAGAAGGAAAUUACAGACCACUCUCUGUUUCUACUCAACUGCUUUUCACUCCAGGAUGCUUCACCUCUUGGGGCCUUCCCCAGCAGAGGCCCAGGAUCACCUGCAAAAGGCUUCCCCAAGGGUGGGGCCAGAAGCAGGGCUGCAGAUAUGUGUCCUGAACCUCCCAUGGACCCUGCUGGCUCCCUUCAAAGGCUUCGGGCAUAGCGACUUGCCUUUCCGUCUUGUUCAGUCGUCACCAGUCAGCCGUCUGCAGAC